CGCCCUGGAAAUGCGUCAGAAAAACUUGCCCUUUGCCUCCGAAAUGCCUCGUUGGCUUCAUCAGGAGCUUUAAUUAGCCCCCGGUCGGCUUUAAUUACAGCAGCGCCGGGCCGGGCCGGGGGAGCGCAGGUUGGGUGCGGGUGCGGAUGUUUCGGAGAGUUUGGGGUGAAAUGCGGCAUUUUAAGUCAAGACAGAAGAUUGCUGGCAAAGGAAGAUGGAUUGAGAGAGGAGAUAACUGGGGGAAAAGAAAAGGAAAAAUCAAGAGUGAAGAUAAGCCUUGGCAGGGAGGAAGAUUAACGGCUUGACGAGAGAAAUGAGGGAGUUUAAUUUUUUUCCCCCAGCGGCCCCUGCUGGGGGAAAAAAAGGACUUUUUGGUAAAAGGCAGUGGCUGGCAGCCGGGAAGGAGGUGCUGGGCAGGGCAACCCUGGGGAAGAGGAGAAAGAAGUGAGAAAAGAGGAAAAAAAGGGAGAAAAGAGGAAAAGAAAGAGCCAGUGCAAGUUGGCUGAGCUGGAGGAAAUCUUAAAAAUUCAGGGGAAAAACAGCCCGUGGAGAUGGGUGAAGCUGGAGGAGAAAAUAGAGGAGAAAAAAAAAAAAAGAAAAUAGAAAAGAAAAAA